rnacentral:lncRNA from 1 species
AUGAGUGUAAGGGUCCACAAUAAAAAGUCAUUUUCACCUGCUCUCAACGAAUUCAAAGUAGCAGCAAUAAUCCCCCGCAGGAAGCACAACACCAUCAACUGCGUUACACAGUUCUACCCGCGACCACCCAUCCAAUCAUCAUGGCAUGUUUGUAAGCAAUAUGGUAUCUUUAGAAGUAUUAUGUCCAAUCACCAUUUGUACCCAUUGGUGCAACCUUGA